rnacentral:rRNA from 1 species
GAGGAAAAGAAACUAACAAGGAUUCCCCUAGUAACUGCGAGUGAAGCGGGAAGAGCUCAAAUUUUGAAUCUGGCGGCGUUUCGUCGUCCGAGUUGUAAUCUAGAGAAGCGUCUUCCGCGCUGGACCGUGUACAAGUCUCCUGGAAGGGAGCGUCAUAGAGGGUGAGAAUCCCGUCUUUGACACGGACUACCAGUGCUAUGUGAUGCGCUCUCGACGAGUCGAGUUGUUUGGGAAUGCAGCUCAAAACGGGUGGUAAAUUCCAUCUAAAGCUAAAUACAUGCGAGAGACCGAUAGCGAACAAGUACCGUGAGGGAAAGAUGAAAAGAACUUUGGAAAGAGAGUUAAACAGUACGUGAAAUUGCUGAAAGGGAAACGCUUGAUGUCAGUCGCGUUGGCUGGGGAUCAACCUUGCUUCUCGCUGGGUGUACUUCCCGGUCGACGGGUCAGCAUCAGUUUCGGUCGYCGUACAAGGGCGAGGGGAAUGUGGCACUCCUCGGAGUGUGUUAUAGCCUUUCGUCGUAUGCGGCGGUGGGGACUGAGGAACUCAGCACGACUUCGGUCUGUGCUUAGGAUGCUGGCAUAAUGGCCUUAAGCGACCCGUCUUGAAACACGGACCAAGGAGUCUAACAUGCCUGCGAGUGUUUGGGUGGCAAACCCGAGUGCGCAACGAAAGUGAAAGUUGAGACCUCUGUCACGGAGGGCAUCGACGCCCGGACCU